rnacentral:rRNA from 1 species
UACGAGGGGUGCGAGCGUUGCUCGGAAUUAUUGGGCGUAAAGGGUGCGUAGGCGGGUCUUUAAGUCAGUGGUGAAAUCCUCCCGCUUAACGGGAGAACUGCCAUUGAUACUAUUGGUCUUGAAUUCAGUUGAGGUGGGCGGAAUGUGUCGUGUAGCGGUGAAAUGCUUAGAUAUGACACAGAACACCGAUUGCGAAGGCAGCUCGCUAAACUGACAUUGACGCUGAGGCACGAAAGCGUGGGGAUCAAACAGG